rnacentral:rRNA from 1 species
UACGUAGGGUGCGAGCGUUGUCCGGAAUUAUUGGGCGUAAAGGGCUCGUAGGCGGUUUGUCGCGUCGGGAGUGAAAACGCCGUGCUUAACACGGCGCUUGCUUUCGAUACGGGCAGACUAGAGGUAUGCAGGGGAGAACGGAAUUCCUGGUGUAGCGGUGAAAUGCGUAGAUAUCUGGAGGAACACCGGUGGCGAAGGCGGCAUCCUGGACCGAUAUUGACGCUGAGGAGCGAAAGCCAGGGGAGCAAACGGG